rnacentral:lncRNA from 1 species
GCGCUGCAAAACGAUCGUCUCCUUUUGAGAAUUCGUACAUCGAGAAGUAUAGGCAUAGGGAAUGAGAAGUUUUGUUCGUGCCCUUUCUUUCUGUUUCCCAAUUUUUCGAAUUCACAUCUCGGUCCCCACCCCGCGGCAGACGGGAGAGAUUUCACGGAAAAUAUUUCGGAAUCUCGAUGUACGUCGAUGGAAUUCCCGACCCCUUACGACGAAUGUGUAGCGUGCAAAAUGUCAAUAGAGAUAUCGCCGUGCAACCCACGUAGUAAAGUCACUCAACGAAGAUAUCUCCAAUAUUGUUACCGAUGCGCGUUUCAUUUCUCCCGCCGAAAAGUUUGUAUCGAAAAAUCGUUCGAAAUCGAGAUAAAAAGAGUUGGGCGAAAUUGCGACAGAUGUCGCUGUCGGCGUAAAAUAUUGUACGUUGAUCGGAGGAAAAUGAAGGCAAACUACAGGCGUACGCCGCUCCCCUGUUUUCACCAUAGCCAUCGUAGCGUUGAUCGUGGGCCAUCUCCGUUCGUCCUGUCGUAAUUCGAGGACAGCAGCAGUGAAUUCAGCGAUAGGACGGACACGCCACACAAAAUACCCAUGGUAGAAGAAGAACAACUGUGGUGGUGGUAGUGCGGUUUGAUCCCCUACUCGCGGAGUCGCGAAGAACACGGGCCCGAAAAAAGUAGAUUACCCAAAAUUUCCGCUUAACGAAAAAACACCGCGUUAAACGAUACACGUACGGUAAUGGUAUACAAAAACUCCUGAGAGACAAAUAAUCACAUCGUUGCGGAAAAAAUGUGUGUGAUAUAAUAUUCCCUGUGCAAAAGAUUGGCUAGGCGGAAACCGAUAUCGUUCGAGGAAAAUACACGUUGAAAAGCAAUUGUUGAAAACGAACAUUGAUACGUCAACAGAAAAAAAAAAAAAAAGGAGAGAAACGAAGAACGGAAAUUUAUACAUAUCAGGGUGCUAUUGCUGUUAUGAGAACUAGGAUCCAAUAUCCGAUUGUACUCCGUCGCAUCUUGAAGAAAAACAAAAUCGAAACAAACAACAAUUGAGUUUAUCUCCGAAAAUUGGACCGUCGUACACAAGUUGUUACAUCGCUUAUACAUCUCUCUGUCUUUGCGAUACCGCUUCGAAGCAACGCGAUACCGGAGACACGAAAAUCCAACGGGGUGUGGAACAUAAAAGAACACAAAAAGUAAAGAAAAAUAACCGAGUACUCGGCGGGGUGAACACGAACCCCAAAAUAUUUCCAAUAUUCAUUGGUAAAAAGGACUUUCCAACACACGCGUGUUUCUCCAAGUUUUCCAUUGAAGGAACCUAGAUUGUUUCCUCAUUCCUCGUCGAAUUAAACUUAUUUAUAUUAUUUAUUUAUUUAUUCAUUUUUUUGCUUCAUUUCGAUCUUGUUUUGUCGUUCAAAAAAAUCUCUCGUUAUUUAUCGUCAUACAGAAAAUACAAGUGACGUGUUGAAGAAAAGAUUCGGAAGAAAGA